UAUUACUGUUCUCAGAUUUUUUAUUCAUAGAUUUUAAUGUGUAUGACAAUGCUAUAUGUCCAUUGUUUAGCUGGAAUGGUAUGUUUGUAUCUCCUAUAUUUUACUCUGGUAUGUGGUUGUCUCACCAAGUUAUCUUACAGUUUUGUUUAAUCGCUUUGGUACUAUUUUCACAAGUAUGUGGUAGAAUUUCACAACUCUUUGUACAAAUCUCAAAAUAGAUCAUCAAAAGGCUGUACAUCACACAGUAACUUUUUCAAAUCAAAUCAUGUUGUAUUUGUCAAAUGCGCCGAAUACAACAGCCACCUUACAGUGAAAUGCUUACUUACAAGCCCUUAACCAACAAUGCAGUUUUAAGAAAAUCCCUAAAAAUGUAAGAGAUAAGAAUUACAAAUAACUAAAGCGCAGCAGUAAAUAAUAAUAUUGGGGCUAUAUACAGGGGUACCUGCUUGGUGGGGGGGGUAAAUGCAAAUAGCCUGGGUAGCCAUUUGAUUAGCUGUUCAGGAGUCAGGAGUCUUAUGGCUUGGGGGUAGAAGCUGUUUAGAAGCAUUUUGGACCUAGACUUGGCGCUCCCGUACCACGUGCCAUGCGGUAGCAAAGAGAACAUUCUAUGACUAGGGUGGCUGGAGUCUUUGACAAUUUUUAGGGCCUGGUAUAGAGGAAGGAAGCUUGCCACUGGUGAUGUACUGGGCUGUACGUACUAUCCUCUGUGCCUUGCGGUCAGAGGUCGAGCAGUUUCCAUACCAGGCAGUGAUGCAACCCGUCAGGACGCUCUCGAUGGUGUAGCUGUAAAACCUUUUGAGGAUCUGAGGACCCAUGCCAAAUCUUUUCAGUCUCCUGAGGGGGAAUAGGUUUUGUCAUGCCCUCUUCACUACCGUCUUGGUGUGCUUGGACCAUGCUAGUUUGUUGGCGAUGUGGACGCCAAGGAACUUGAAGCUCUCAACCUGCUCCACUACAGCCCAGUCGAUGAGAAUGGGGACGUGCUCGGGCCUACUUUUCCUGUAGUCCACAAUCAUCUUCUUUGUCUUGAUCAAGUUGAGUGAGAGGUUGUUGUCCUUGCACCACACGGUCAGGUCUCUGACCUCCUCCUUACAGGCUGUCUCAUCGUUGUCGGUGAUCAGGCCUACCACUGUACCACUGUUGUGUCAUCAGCAAACUUAAUGAUGGUGUUGGAGUCAUUUGGCGGUGUUGUAGUUGUUCACCAAACCUAAUCAGUGUUACAUCUACAAAUACCUUUCAUAAAGUAAUUGCCUUACAGUGCAAUACUCACAAUACUUCUCAUUUGUUUAAAUAUACUUGACGAUCACUUAAUCCAACUGUGCUUAAUGUUAAUCACUUAACUACUUAGUAAACCAAUAGAUUUUAAACUGGUUGGUCUACUAUAUAUGGAUUUUGAGAACUACAGAAAUAAAAUGUGUGUUUGUAAAGUAUAAACAUCUAAAUUACAUGUAUGAUACAUGAUAACCAAACAAAAUGACUACUUGUUAUUGCUAAUUGAUUUCACAUAGUGGUAAGCACAAUUGGUCACCAUAUAAAAGAUGGUAUGUGAACACUUGCAAUUUCUUUCAACAUGGUGCAGGAUACACAGCAAGGGAUAGGAACAAAUCAAAGAGCUCCUAUACAAGGGCCCGUCAGAGAGGUGGGCAUGGGCCCCAUCAAAGAGGUUGAAGAGGCGGGCAUGGGCUCCGUCAGAGGUCAAAGAGGUGGGCAUAGGCUCCGUCAAAGAGGUGGACAUCAGAGAAAGGGAGGCAGAUGGCAGGGAACUGUUGUGUCUAAGGAAGUCCUGCCCAUCGUCGUUGACCAUGUGAAUUGUCAGAAGACCCUGUGGUGGUAGCUGUGGCCGUGUUUUUAGAGGGUGAUGAUGCUUGAUGCUGCUGUGAACCAUAACAAGUGUAUCUUCAUUGGCGAAGCGGGCUUCAACCUGGGUGGAACCACUUCACAAAAUAGAUGGCAUCAUGAGAGGAAAAUGAAAUGGAUAUAUUGAAGCAACAUCUCAAGACAUCAGUCAGGAAGUUAAAGCUUGGUCGCAAAUGGGUCUUCCAAAUGGACAAUGACCCCAAGUAUACUUCCAAAGUUGUGGCAAAAUGGCUUAAGGACAACAAAGUUAAGGUAUUGGAGUGGCCACCACAAAGCCCUGACCUCAAUCCUAUAGAACAUUUGUGAGCAGAACUGAAAAUGUGUGUGCGAGAAAAAAGUCCUACAACUUGACUCAGUUACACCAGCUCUGUCAGGAGGAAUGGGACAAAAUUCACCCAACUUAUUGUGGGAAGCUUGUGGAAGGCUACCCGAAAUGUUUGACCCAAGUUAAACAAUUUAAAGGCAAUGCUACCAAAUAAUAAUUGAGUGUAUGUAAACUUCUGACCAACAGGGAAUGUGAUGAGAGAAAUAAAAGCUGAAAUAAAUCAUUCUCUCUGCUAUUAUUCUGACAUUUCACAUUCUUAAAAUAAAGUGGUGAUCCUAACUGACCUAAAUCAGGGAAUUGUUACUCGGAUUAAAUGUCAGAAAUUGUGAAAAACUGAUAUUAAAUGUAUUUGGCUAAGGUGUAUGUAAACUUCUGACUUCAACUGUAUUUACAUGAAAGAUUGUAGCAGGAUGUGUUCAUUGAUCACACCUUCGAUUACACAUUGGAUAGAUUUCAUAGAAAUGAUAGAUUUGUGUGCCUAAUGUGAAAACUGUUUAAUCUACUGCAAGUGACAGUACUGUAGCAUAUUACUUACAGCACUUGUAAGGGGGAUUUGAAACACAUAUCUUGGGUUGUUUGCUAUUGGAUUAACUGGUAGUUAAAAUUACUCAAUUGAAAGAUAUCAUUAUGUGUUUUGGUGAUUAAACCAAUGUACUCAUUAUAUUUCACAAUAAACAUAUAUUUUGAAUCAA